rnacentral:rRNA from 1 species
UAGGGAGUAUUGGACAAUGGGUGAGAGCCUGAUCCAGCCAUGCCGCGUGCAGGAAGAAGGCGUUAUGCGUUGUAAACUGCUUUUGCCAGGGGAUAAAAAGACCGUGCGCGGUUAAUUGAAGGUACCUGGUGAAUAAGCCACGGCUAACUACGUGCCAGCAGCCGCGGUAAUACGUAGGUGGCAAGCGUUGUCCGGAUUUAUUGGGUUUAAAGGGUGCGUAGGUGGCCUUGUAAGUCAGUGGUGAAAUAUCUCAGCUUAACUGAGAGGGUGCCAUUGAUACUGCAGGGCUUGAGUACAGAUGAGGUAGGCGGAAUUGACGGUGUAGCGGUGAAAUGCAUAGAUAUCGUCAAGAACACCGAUAGCGAGGGCAGCUUACCAAGCUGUAACUGACACUGAGGCACGAAAGUGUGGGGAUCAAACAGGAUUAGAUACCCCGGUAGUCCCUGAGCGGGCUGGCAAGGCGCAU